rnacentral:rRNA from 1 species
GAUGAACGCUGGCGGCGUGCCUAAUACAUGCAAGUCGAGCGAACGGACGAGAAGCUUGCUUCUCUGAUGUUAGCGGCGGACGGGUGAGUAACACGUGGAUAACCUACCUAUAAGACUGGGAUAACUUCGGGAAACCGGAGCUAAUACCGGAUAAUAUUUUGAACCGCAUGGUUCAAAAGUGAAAGACGGUCUUGCUGUCACUUAUAGAUGGAUCCGCGCUGCAUUAGCUAGUUGGUAAGGUAACGGCUUACCAAGGCAACGAUGCAUAGCCGACCUGAGAGGGUGAUCGGCCACACUGGAACUGAGACACGGUCCAGACUCCUACGGGAGGCAGCAGUAGGGAAUCUUCCGCAAUGGGCGAAAGCCUGACGGAGCAACGCCGCGUGAGUGAUGAAGGUCUUCGGAUCGUAAAACUCUGUUAUUAGGGAAGAACAUAUGUGUAAGUAACUGUGCACAUCUUGACGGUACCUAAUCAGAAAGCCACGGCUAACUACGUGCCAGCAGCCGCGGUAAUACGUAGGUGGCAAGCGUUAUCCGGAAUUAUUGGGCGUAAAGCGCGCGUAGGCGGUUUUUUAAGUCUGAUGUGAAAGCCCACGGCUCAACCGUGGAGGGUCAUUGGAAACUGGAAAACUUGGGUGCAGAAGAGGAAAGUGGAAUUCCAUGUGUAGCGGUGAAAUGCGCAGAGAUAUGGAGGAACACCAGUGGCGAAGGCGACUUUCUGGUCUGUAACUGACGCUGAUGUGCGAAAGCGUGGGGAUCAAACAGGAUUAGAUACCCUGGUAGUCCACGCCGUAAACGAUGAGUGCUAAGUGUUAGGGGGUUUCCGCCCCUUAGUGCUGCAGCUAACGCAUUAAGCACUCCGCCUGGGGAGUACGACCGCAAGGUUGAAACUCAAAGGAAUUGACGGGGACCCGCACAGGCGGUGGAGCAUGUGGUUUAAUUCGAAGCAACGCGAAGAACCUUACCAAAUCUUGACAUCCUUUGACAACUCUAGAGAUAGAGCUUUCCCCUUCGGGGGACAAAGUGACAGGUGGUGCAUGGUUGUCGUCAGCUCGUGUCGUGAGAUGUUGGGUUAAGUCCCGCAACGAGCGCAACCCUUAAGCUUAGUUGCCAUCAUUAAGUUGGGCACUCUAAGUUGACUGCCGGUGACAAACCGGAGGAAGGUGGGGAUGACGUCAAAUCAUCAUGCCCCUUAUGAUUUGGGCUACACACGUGCUACAAUGGACAAUACAAAGGGCAGCGAAACCGCGAGGUCAAGCAAAUCCCAUAAAGUUGUUCUCAGUUCGGAUUGUAGUCUGCAACUCGACUACAUGAAGCUGGAAUCGCUAGUAAUCGUAGAUCAGCAUGCUACGGUGAAUACGUUCCCGGGUCU